rnacentral:rRNA from 1 species
CAAUAGCGUAUAUUAAAGUUGUUGCAGUUAAAAGCUCGUAGUUGGAUUUCUGGUGGGAGCACGGGUCGGCCCUCACGGGUUGUACUGUUGUUGCGUCCUGCCGUUUCGGAGGGAAUGGCCUCGCUAUUAAGUUAGCGUGGUCGGGAACUCUGUCGUUUACUGUGAAAAAUUAGAGUGUUCAAAGCAGGCCUUCGCUGUGAAUACAUUAGCAUGGAAUAAUAAGAUAGGACUGUAGUGCUAUUUUGUUUGGUUUGCGUACUAUGGUAAUGAUUAAUAGGGAUAGUUGGGGGUAGUUCAUAUUCAAUUAGUCAGAGGUGAAUUACUUGGAUUAUUGGAGAUGAACUACUGCGAAAGACAUUUACCU